UUCCUCCUGUUUGUGAACUGCCAUUGAGUACACUUCACGCUUCAGGAGGCAAGAACUUGGGGGCGAGUACGACCGGAAAUGACCUGAAAGACCUAGAGAAGAAUUACGAUAAAGGAGAGGUGAGCUCUCACAACCCCGCUGUUUUCCCCAGUUUGUGUCACAUGACACUCAUUACAGGGCAAAUGGAGGGGAGGGAACUGCAAAAUAUUUACUCGUGAAAAGGAGUUUAGGAGGAAGAGAAGAGGCCAGGCACACCAAGCUCGACCGAUCCUGUCAGAAAUCGGUUAUGGAAAUAAUCAUGUAAGGGGCAGGUAAACAAGUAAAGCUGCAGGAACAAGGUCAGGAAGCAAGAUGGCGGUACCAUCCGGGUGUUCCGUUGAACCAUCAUGAGGCGCACCCCAUCCCUCCCCACGUCAGGUCCGAUAACCUAUGACCUCACGCUAGCCACAGGCGGACGCAGAUUGCCUCCACAGGUGCAACCUAAAGCUGCACGUUGCGACUAACGAGAUAACCUGGAAUUAACCCUUUCUCCUCCAGAUCGCAGGAUGGGAAGAAGGUUUCCUGAGGCUGACAGCGGACCUGCGAGCGCUGGGUUCAUUCAGUGCACUACACAGAGCCAUUGAUGGGUUGGAGUGACUUUAACCGACGUGGCAUAAAUGAUGACUUGUUUAGUCAGUUUACAAAUACUAAUCAGUCAUCCGCCAACGCGCGGGGAGUCCACAGUCUCUCAUAGUUCUCCUCUCAUCACCUGGUCGCAGGCCGCCCUCAAGGCCUGACAGACACCCAGGCCGGCGUCAACAAGGAUUUCUCCAAGACUGAAAUUGUAGAUAAUUUGAAGCCCAGCCCUUUGGGGAAAGCCAUGCUUUCCUGCUUAUCGCGGGUGUGCAAUGACUAAGAGGACAGGUGUGAAGGUUUUCGCGUGCACAACAGGAAGUCUCGGGACCAGAUGGGAGGAUGGUCGUGAAGAAAGGAAGUAAAAGGUUAGCAUUGCAAAUCGCCCUCGUCACUCGGGACCCACACCUUCCUGGACAAGCUUGACACCCACCAUCGAGCAGAAUGAACCCACCUACCGUUGGCCUUCAGAUUAUACCCGGGUAUGUCGGCAAGCUUGAGAGGCCCGCGGGUCAAAGUUAUUUUCCCAUGUGAGGCUGUUUCCUAGAAAUGGGAUCCUUCUUGGGAAACCCACAUUGCUGGCGAGGACUGGCGAGGCUCCACCUCCUGGUGACCCGAGCGUUCAGCAGAAAGUGAACAGUUCUCCAGCUCACCGGGCUUUCGGUUUCAAACAGGUUUGAAGAUCUCAUCACUACUUUAUAGUCACGAGAUAGAAUUGGUAGCUAGCGCCACAGGAAUAAUAAUAAUAGUAAUAAUAAUAUAAAAAAAUAAAAUAAAAGACUGAAAGGGGUAUUAAUAUUUCUUGUGGAAGCAAGUGUGUUUGUUAUGCUGAUGACCAACUUUAAAGGGAU
rnacentral:lncRNA from 1 species